rnacentral:rRNA from 1 species
UACGUAGGUCCCGAGCGUUGUCCGGAUUUAUUGGGCGUAGAGCGAGCGCAGGUGGUUUAUUAAGUCUGGUGUAAAAGGCAGUGGCUCAACCAUUGUAUGCAUUGGAAACUGGUAGACUUGAGUGCAGGAGAGGAGAGUGGAAUUCCAUGUGUAGCGGUGAAAUGCGUAGAUAUAUGGAGGAACACCGGUGGCGAAAGCGGCUCUCUGGCCUGUAACUGACACUGAGGCUCGAAAGCGUGGGGAGCAAACAGG